rnacentral:lncRNA from 1 species
UCCAUUUUAAUGGGAGGCUAUGACCUAGUUAUCUAUAUAACUAUAUCAUUUUAAGGACCUAAUAAUUUAGAGGAUUUUAGAGAGACCGAUAAUUCUAUAUCCUCCCACUGACUGCACUGAGUCAUAUAGAGAACUGAUGCCGCACAAAUGCGGAAAAAGAGGAGAAGAAGGAAGAACAAGAGAGGAAGAAGGAAGAAGAGGUUCUAGAGACACAGGAAGAAGAGAAGGGGAGGAGGAGGAGGAAGAAUAAGAUCUGGGGGAAAAGAAAUUCUUAAUCAUUCAUUAAAUUCUAAUCAUGAAAAUAGUUCCCUAUAUAUAGGGCCCAAAUACACAAUUUGCAUAAACCCCCCUUACACAGAAAUAAAUCCUAAUGAACCCACAAAUAACACAAAUAAGCCCUAAAAUGCAAAUAAGCCCAGAAAUAAAAUAAACCACAAAUAAACCCUGGAAUGCAAAUAAGCCCAAAAAUAAAAUAAUAAAAUAAAUAUGCAAAUAAACGAGUCUGGCUCAAUCCGGGGGCUCAGGAUCAUCUGGAUGAAGGGCUCUGAUGUCCUCAUCAACUCCUCCCGGGUGAGAAAAACUCGAUCCCGUCGAGUACAGGUCUGGCCGGCUGCCGUACUGCUCCAGAAGAUCGGGGUCAAUGCGCUGCAACUGUGCUUUGGAAAUCCACGUCACAUCAGACUUUGGUCGACCUUUCCACCGAACAAGGUAACGUUGGUAACCACCGUUCCUGCUUGAAAUAACCUGCUCAUCCAAUAUAUGUUCUAUUUGUUCUCUGCGUGCAUGAAAUUUGGGAGGUGGUGGCUCAACAGCAGGUAAUAGGGCAG